rnacentral:rRNA from 1 species
AACGUAGGUUCCGAGCGUUAUCCGGAUUUACUGGGCGUAAAGCGCGUUCAGGCGGUUUGGCAAGUCGGGCAUGAAAUCUCUCGGCUCAACCGGGAGAGGUUGUCCGAUACUUCCAGACUUGAGGGCAGUAGAGGGUGGUGGAAUUCCGGGUGUAGUGGUGAAAUGCGUAGAUAUCCGGAGGAACACCAGCGGCGAAGGCGGGUAGCUGGGCCAACACUGACGCUGAUGCGCGAAAGCCAGGGGAGCAAACGGG